GACGAACGCUGGCGGCGUGCUUAACACAUGCAAGUCGAGCGGAAAGGCCCCUUCGGGGGUACUCGAGCGGCGAACGGGUGAGUAACACGUGGGUAAUCAACCCCUGACAUCGGGAUACCCCGGGGAAACCCGGAUCAAUACCGGAUAAGGUGCGGAGGCGCAGGCCGCCGUACCAAAGGUAGCUUCGGCUUCCGGUCAGGGACGAGCCCGCGGCCCAAUAGAUUGUUGGUGGGGUAACGGCCCACCAAGGCGACGAUGGGGAGCUGGUCUGAGAGGACGAUCAGCCACACUGGGACUGAGACACGGCCCAGACUCCUACGGGAGGCAGCAGUGGGGAAUCUUGCGCAAUGGGCGGAAGCCUGACGCAGCAACGCCGCGUGCGGGAAGAAGGCCCUAGGGUCGUAAACCGCUUUCAGGGGGGACGAAGCUUCCGGGGUUAAUAGCCUACGGGGUGACGGUACUCCCAGAAGAAGGUCCGGCUAACUACGUGCCAGCCGCCGCCGUAA
rnacentral:rRNA from 1 species